UGAUAUAUCUGUACUGUAGUGUUUUCGGACGGUACUAGCUCUUUCUGCCAAUAUAGGAGUAUUACAUAUAUGGCCUGAUCUGCUAAUUUUUACACGCGUAUGAAAAGUAACUAAACACCACAUCCGUCGGUAACGAACAUAAGCACAAAGUGCACUGGCAAACAGACGUCCAACCGUGGGAGCAAUAACUGCGCGAAUUCUGCUGACAUCGCGUCUUCUACAACUUACUGCUGUCACGCGGCCAAUCCGUGUGACCAAAUAAUAACUCUAGCUGCAAGGCAAAUUUACUUCGUCAAAGUUAGUUCUGAAGUAGCACUCAAUGAACAAAGGCCAUAAAAAUUAAUUAACGGGCUUUUAUUCAACUUGCACUCAUGUUGUAGAACGCAGCGACAUGUUGGCCUAGAACCAAAUGAUAAGGGAGUGCAGGUUAUGCUUAAAAAGGUUCAAAAUUCCCUUUGCCAUAUGACCGGAGAAACCGAGGAUGAAACCAUUCAAGAGAUUUCCAGCACACUCCCUCUCUCCAGUGUAGACUGCUCAAUCCAGGUGGAGGCAAAACUCAAGAAUCCCGAGUACAAACAGGCAAUGGUAAUUCACUGUAUGCAUACACACAUAUCGUCGUUUAAAGUACAAAACCGUUCGUCCUGAAAUAUACUAGUCUGAAAUGCGAUUACUUUAUAAAACAGAGAACCAUUUUGACAUACGACUGUUUUUACUCUCUACUAUAAAAUUUGGGCAACCUCACAUACGCGGUUUUUGAUUAUCUUGAUAAGCGGUUUUGUACUUUAAACGACGAUAUACAUAUACAUAUAUAGACGAAAGUAUCAGUGUGAAAGUUAAUACAACAAUUUUUUCGAUAUUUUUAUCCAAAUCAGAUAAGCUUCAUUUAUAAAAUAAAGGGGGCAGCGGGAAGCGUGAAUGACGUUAUCCGGAAAUUAUUCACCGAUGAAUUUCUGCAACUCUAUAAUUGGGACGGGCGGUAGGAGAAAAAAUCAUUACGCGCGUUAAAUCUGGUGGAGGAAAUUUUAACUUCACUAAAUUUAAACAAUCGUUUGACUCUUUUGUUGAAAUUGUUUCCAGAUGUAUUCAAAACCGAAGGACGACUAGCAUUGGAAAAAAAUAUUAAAAAGUCAAUUGACCUAGCCCAUAAUCGGCUUAAGCAAAAAAUCCGAUUAAGUCAAAAUAAACUAAAAUAAGUAUAAUAA